GAUCACUGCCUGAGCAAUCAGGCGAUGGUUCUAGUGGCGCACGGGUGAGUAACACGUGGGCAACCUGCCCUGGAGCCUGGGAUACCCUCUCGAAAGGGAGGCUAAUACCGGAUACGUUCCUCGGGUCGCGAGAUCUGGGGAGGAAAGGUGGCGCAAGCUGCCGCUCUUGGAGGGGCUCGCGGCCUAUCAGCUAGUUGGUGAGGUAAUGGCUCACCAAGGCUAUGACGGGUAGCUGGUCUGAGAGGACGACCAGCCACACGGGGACUGAGACACGGCCCCGACUCCUACGGGAGGCAGCAGUGGGGAAUUUUCCGCAAUGGGCGAAAGCCUGACGGAGUGACGCCGCGUGGGGGACGAAGGCCUUCGGG
rnacentral:rRNA from 1 species